rnacentral:rRNA from 2 species
GAUGAACGCUGGCGGCGCGCCUAACACAUGCAAGUCGAACGGUUAAAGCACCUUUUAGGUGUGUAUAAAGUGGCGAACGGCUGAGUAACACGUGGGCAACCUGCCCUCCUCUUGGGGAUAGCCUCGGGAAACCGAGGAUAAUACCCGAUACUUCAAUGUGGCCGCAUGACGACAUUGAGAAAGCUUUUGCGGAGAAGGAUGGGCCCGCGGCCUGUUAGCUUGUUGGUGGGGUAGAGGCCUACCAAGGCAAUGAUGGGUAGCUGGGUUGAGAGACCGACCAGCCAGAUUGGGACUGAGACACGGCCCAGACUCCUACGGGAGGCAGCAGUGGGGAAUCUUGCACAAUGGGCGAAAGCCUGAUGCAGCGACGCCGCGUGCGGGACGAAGGCCUUCCGGGUUGUAAACCGCUUUUCAGCAGGGACGAGGCGAAAGUGACGGUACCUGCAGAAGAAGCCCCGCUAACUAAC